AGGGUUUGGAGGACUUUUCCGGAGUUUAGGGGGUUGGAAGGAUUAGGGUGCAUCAGUAUUGGGAGACAUAUUGGAGGUUAUUGAGGUCUGAGGAAGCUGAAGGGUUUGGGGUACUUGGGGAUUGAUGGUGGGGCUGCAAUGCAGGGGGCGUCUGUGGACAGCCUGGUGCAUAUUGGGUCCUCAUGGGGUGAACCCCUUCUCACCCCACCCCCCCACCUUCCCCAGGCAUCCUGGAGACAGAUAUCACCUUCCUCCUCAUCUUCAUUUCUUCAUUGUCAUCUUCUCAUUAUUCAUCACUCCCUCAUUUUCCUCCUCAUGCUCAUCGUGCUGGGCAAGUGCUUUUCCAUCACAGGGGGAAGGGAAUGGAAGUUCUUUUCAAGAGACUCUGUUGCCCAGGCAAGGCCUGAUGAGCUUGAUAUCUCAAUGGACUGGGAGGUGCCAGAGAAUGCACAAGAUAUAAAUAACCAUUAACGCUCAAACAUCCUUCCUGGUGUGUCAGAGACCCCUGGUCGGGGAAAAGGUCAAUAAGAGAACAAAGAAUGAGGACCUAAUUAGCAUUGUAGGCAGAGGGAUCAAUAACCAAUAGGAAACCAAAUACAAAGGACUGUAACUUAUAGCCAAUGAAUGUUGAACCAAUGAAUUUUUCCAGGUUUUGACUGUGUAAGUAUGUGGAAAAAAAAGCCAUGUGUGAUGGAAUGGUUUUCUCUGCACAAUCCAGGCAAUGUGUGGAUUACAUUAUUUAUGUUGCAGAUUCUGGCCAGAAAAACAUCCUAGCCAGAAUAAAGUAAUACUUUAAUUCUCUAAAAGUAAAAAUGUUGGAGAAUGUUUGCUUUUUCUACAGUUUUGGUAAGACAGUGACUCCAUGUCUCUCCAUAUCCCCCCACAACACCUCUGUGUCCUUUUCCCCAGGUGGAUCUCAUGGACAGCUGCAAUCCUCAGCUGACCCCCACUGGUCACAGGGAGGCACUGGGAGCUACUCAGACCAUGCUGGGAGCAACUGCUGCAACCCUCGACUGACUCGGGUACUAGGAGGCACAGGGAGCUACUGGGACCAUGCUGGGAUGUGUGAAGACACUGGGAGCAAAUGGAAGAUGCUGGAAACAUGUUGAGAGUACUGGGACCACAAUUGGGGUAACUAGGAUCGUACAGGGGACAACUGGAACCAUGCUGGGGUGUCUGGAACCACACCGGGGGCCUACUGGGAGUGAUUAGGAUCAUAAUGGGAUCAUUCUAGCAGGGACAGGAUUUGACUGGGGUCAUUGGGAGUGUAAUAGUGAUCAUACUGGGAGCCAUUGUGAUCAUACUGGACUGCCCCUGGGAGUGACUGGAAUCAUACUAGGAUCAUUUUGGGAGUAACUGGAACCAUGCAGAUGACCGGGAGCACUGGGAACCACACUGGGAGUGACUGGACACUCUGUAAUCGACUGGGACGAUAACGGAUACCGUACUGGGAUCACACUGGGACGGUAAUUGAGAUUACCCUGGGAGCCCCAAGCCGCGGGGUGUUUAGAGGGCGGAGCCAUGAGAUUUAUGCUAAUGAGCUUUCUGCCGCCCCGGCACCAUCGAGUCGCGGAGUCUGGCGGCGCAGAGCGGUCGCGCGCCCCGACAGGCGCGGCGGGAGGAAGUGACGUCACGAGCAGCGCGACGCGGCGGGAGGUUUGAACAGUGCGAGGUUUGAACGGCGCUGAGCGAGGUUUGGGCAGCGCUGGGCGAAGUUUGAACAGCGCUGAUCGAGGUUUGGGCAGCGCGGGGCGAAGUUUGAACAGCGCUGAGCGAGGUUUGGGCAGC